UACAAGACUUGGGUUUCUUUGUGUUUGUUUGGUUCUCUCUGCAAAGUGGUCUGGCUGAAUAUAAUCAAUGUUAUUCCUCUGCUUUGUUGAAUGAGCUUCGAGUAAUGAUGUGCAGAUGCCAAAUGUGACAUGUCUGGGGACAAGGUGUUCAUGAUCUCUGUUGAUGAAUAAUGUUAGAAGUGGAGACUGGCGCAUGCUCAGAAUGGACCCCAAGUAGUCUGCAGUCCCUUUGCCCAAGACAACUCCUUUCACCAUGGAAAACUGAUCCUUGUUUCUGGAAACACAAAUCCAGGCUGGUCUUGAAUAUAGUUGUCCUUGUAGUCUGCAGAAGUGAGCGAACUAGAGUCCCACAGCACAGUCCCUCCCCUGGGACCCCAGGGCCACUCUGGUCACUCCAUGUGAUUUGGAUGGGGCUGUUCACAAAGAAGAAAUGGGAGGAGAUACAACAGGGCCCUUUCUCUAUGUGCCUGUCCUGCUGAUUCCACUUCCAAAAUAAUUCCCAAUUGUGCCCACUCUUCACUCCUGCUACCACCACCCCACUCCUGGCCACCACCAUCCCUCUCUUGGGUGAUUACAGUGGCUUUUGAGCCCAUCUUCCUUGUCCCUAAGAGUCCUUCUCUCCAGCUAACCCAGUCUCUCCGGAGCAGUAGGAGUAAUGUUAGGUUGAAAAAUCAGAUCAUAUCCCUCUGUGCUCACAACCCUAGAGCUUUCUAUUUCUUGCAGGAUAAAGUUCAGAAUCUUUAAUAUGACCUUCUAAGCCCUGAUUGCACAUGACCUUGUCUUGCCUUCACCUUCUUCUCACCCUCAGCCAUUCUCUUCCCAACUCCUACUGGUUUUCUCACCAUUGCUGGGAUGCUCAGCUUCAGUCUCAAGGCUUUACACACAAUGGUCUCUCUGCCUGGGGCUCUCUUCCCUCAACUCUUCAUGUGCCCAGCUGCUCACCUUCAACUUAAUUUGAAGGCCACUUCCCCAGAAAGACCUUUCCGAAGUCCCACUGGUCCAGUUCUUUUUCUUCAAAGCACUUGUAACAAUGCGGCUAAAUGUUUGUCUGCUGAUUGUCACUGACUGUUCAUAAUUGUCAAUAAUAUCCAUCUCU
rnacentral:lncRNA from 1 species